GAGAUGGUGGUGCAGUGGUUAGCACUGUUGCCUCCCACGCAGCAAAUGACCCAAGCCGGAUUCGAACCCAGGUUGCUGCA